rnacentral:rRNA from 1 species
UUUAAGGUCUAACCUGCCCAAUGAGGAUUUAAAUGGCCGCAGUAUUUUGACUGUGCAAAGGUAGCAUAAUUAUUAGUUUUUUAAUUGAAAGCUUGUAUGAAGGGUUGGACGAGAUGAAAUCUGUCUUUAUUUAAAUUAAAAUAUAAUUUAACUUUUAAGUAAAAAGGCUUAAAUGUUUAUAAAAGACGAGAAGACCCUAUAGAUCUUUAUUUAAUUAAAAUUUUAAUAAUUUAGGAUUAUUUUAAUUUAAAGUUUUGAUUAAAUUUUAUUGGGGUAAUAUAAAGAUUAAAUAAAUUCUUUUUAUUUAUAACAUUAAUUUAUGAAUGUAUGAUCCAUUAAUAUUGAUUAUAAGAUUAAGUUACCUUAGGGAUAACAGCGUAAUUUUUUUGGAGAGCUCGUAUCGAUAAAAAAGUUUGCGACCUCGAUGUUGGAUUAAAAAUUAGCUUGGGUGCAGAAGCUCAAGAUUUUGGUCUGUUCGACCAUUAAAUUUUUACAUGAUCUGAGUUCAGACCGGCGUAAGCCAGGUCGGUUUCUAUCUUUAUUAAAAUAAAAUAUUUUAGUACGAAAGGACCAAAUAUUUAAUAUAAUUAUAUUUAUUUUUUGAAGAAUAUU